UAUCCGACCUCAGAUARGGU
rnacentral:rRNA from 1 species